CUCAUUCUCACAAUCUCACUCUCUCUUCAAUGCAAAAGCCAAUAAAUUUCAGCCCCUUUCUGCAGCUUCUUCCAUGUCGCAGUCGCAGUUGCUAGUCGGAAUCGUAUAGACACCUAAGGUCACUAUUGUUUUAUUUUUGAAAUAUAAAAUUUAAACUAAUGUUUAGUGGCAAUUAUUGAGAUUAACUCUUCGAUUCCAUUCUGUAACUUUCUUGAUUUGCCAUGAAUAAUGUUAAGAAGAAAGUUAACCUUGUACAAACACUGACACUGCGGUGUCUAAAACCCUCAUACUAUUAGCUAGAGAAUAAGGGAUUGAAAUGUGUGUAUGGUCUGAACUUGAAUCCGAUGAUUGGGCUGGGUUUUGAAGAUAUUGCACUGAUAUUGCCAAGGUCAAUUUAUUGGCUAUCAUCUCAAAUUUUGUCAUAAAUUACUGAAUUUUGAUUUUGCUAUUUCUGUAGUUUUGUUUAUUGUUAAAAUACACAUUCACAUUAUUUGGGGUUGAGCUUAUAUUGGGGGUGUCAUUUGAAGUUAUGUUUUUAAACCAGAUCUGAAUUAAUUUCGAUUUUAUGUUAAUUUGGAUUAAUUUGCUCUAUUGUUAUAGUUCCAUUUGAGGUACAUCGCUGAAUUGAGAUUUUAUUCAACAGAAAUUUACUUUACAUGUAUACUUUUGGAAUUUUUUACUGGUUUUUAGUAAGUUAUUUUGGUUGAUAACUUGAAACCAAAUUCAUCGGCGUAAUGUAGGUUGUAGGUAGGGUUAGAUUUUUGCUCACAAGAGUAAGUAAAAUUCUAUAUGUUCUGCAUUGAAGAACGUAUGUAAAGGAAGCCAAAGAUAAGCUAGAAUGAUUUGAAUGUUGUGAAAAUGAAAUCGGAAGUGCCCCUGGAUUAUGCUGAAUUCCUUUUGUCAACAAAGCACUCGCAGUGAGGAUGUCUAGUUAAUUACAUUGGAUGUCAAUUUUUAAUAAGUGGCUGAAUGUUAUGUUUUCAGUCAUUUAUCUUCAGUUCCUAUUGGCUAGAUGUGAAUGGGUUUUUUCCAGCAACGGAAACACAGAGAAACUGGCAUCAGGAUUGGUUAAACCAUUUGUGGCACAUUUGAAGAUAGCAAAGGUACAUGUUGCAUUAGCUCAGCUGCAUAGUCAGUUAAACUUGAAUUGGAAGGCGUAAAAAUUCUGAGACGUGGUUCACGAAGGGAACACUUGAGAGGUAUUGCAAUUUGCAACUUGUUACGGAAUAUAUUCAAAUUAUCAAAUUUCAAGAUAAUGGUGAAUGGUGAUUCUUUUGUUAAGAUUUGUGCAAUUUGUGGACACGCUAGAGGUUUUGGAACUGGUUAAUACAUUAGAUGAUGAGAUGUCCCCACUAGAAGCAGCCCAAAGAAUAUAUUCACAGGUACAUGUACAAAUUCCAAGUCAUUGAAUAUUUCAUUUCAUUUGUUGCUUUUUCGUUGAUUUCACGUUAACAUAUUUAGUUCCGCAAAACUCUUAUAAAUGAAAAC
rnacentral:lncRNA from 1 species